GGUUCCCAAAGACCGAAAAGCAAACAUGCUAUUUAUAGAGAGAGUUCAUUUACUGGAGCCUUUCCCUUUGAAAUUCCUCACCCAUCCUCGCCAUGGAAACCGAGAGAGCCUGGAGAAACAGCCCCAACGGGACCAAACAUCAGAGCUUUAAAAAGAGCCGCGUGGGGAAAGGGGGUGGAAGCAGCCAGUGUUCCCCUCUGGACACAUCCUGGCCUGGAAGAACCACAGUGCAAAUCACAGAGCGCUCAGUUCAGUGGGUUCGGGCUGUGCAAACGUGGAUUUGAUGCCUACAGGAUCAGAUGUUCUGGAAGAUGGACCAUUACUGGCAGCCUUGGGGACACAUUGCUCUCUGCAGACACUUAUAAAUAGUGCACAAUUUGCAGGUCCUGCUUCCUGCUGUCUUUGAGGUCUGGAAAUGCAGUGGAGAUGGUGCCACUGUAAGUGAUGCAUGCUGGUGAAUUACAAGUCCUCCACCUUUUUCAGCCAGUAAAUUCCUACCAGUUUAAUAUGGGCCUUGGAAAACUGAUGGGAAGGCCAAGAAUCACCCUUGAAGGAUAUUAUCUUCUAUAAAAAAUAAACUCUAUCAUCUUAUUGAA